UACGAAGGGGGCUAGCGUUGCUCGGAAUCACUGGGCGUAAAGGGCGCGUAGGCGGACUCUUAAGUCAGGGGUGAAAUCCCGGAGCUCAACUCCGGAACUGCCUUUGAUACUGGGUGUCUUGAGUGUGAGAGAGGUAUGUGGAACUCCGAGUGUAGAGGUGAAAUUCGUAGAUAUUCGGAAGAACACCAGUGGCGAAGGCGACAUACUGGCUCAUUACUGACGCUGAGGCUCGAAAGCGUGGGGAGCAAACAGG
rnacentral:rRNA from 1 species